rnacentral:rRNA from 1 species
CGAACGAUGAACCUCACUUCGGGAGGGGAUUAGUGGCGAACGGGUGAGUAACACGUGGGCAAUCUGCCCUGCACUCUGGGACAAGCCCUGGAAACGGGGUCUAAUACCGGAUAUGAGCCUGGGAGGCAUCUCCCGGGUUGUAAAGCUCCGGCGGUGCAGGAUGAGCCCGCGGCCUAUCAGCUUGUUGGUGAGGUAACGGCUCACCAAGGCGACGACGGGUAGCCGGCCUGAGAGGGCGACCGGCCACACUGGGACUGAGACACGGCCCAGACUCCUACGGGAGGCAGCAGUGGGGAAUAUUGCACAAUGGGCGCAAGCCUGAUGCAGCGACGCCGCGUGAGGGAUGACGGCCUUCGGGUUGUAAACCUCUUUCAGCAGGGAAGAAGCGAAAGUGACGGUACCUGCAGAAGAAGCGCCGGCUAACUACGUGCCAGCAGCCGCGGUAAUACGUAGGGCGCAAGCGUUGUCCGGAAUUAUUGGGCGUAAAGAGCUCGUAGGCGGCUUGUCACGUCGGAUGUGAAAGCCCGGGGCUUAACCCCGGGUCUGCAUUCGAUACGGGCAGGCUAGAGUUCGGUAGGGGAGAUCGGAAUUCCUGGUGUAGCGGUGAAAUGCGCAGAUAUCAGGAGGAACACCGGUGGCGAAGGCGGAUCUCUGGGCCGAUACUGACGCUGAGGAGCGAAAGCGUGGGGAGCGAACAGGAUUAGAUACCCUGGUAGUCCACGCCGUAAACGGUGGGCACUAGGUGUGGGCAACAUUCCACGUUGUCCGUGCCGCAGCUAACGCAUUAAGUGCCCCGCCUGGGGAGUACG